GCAGCUGUGAUCUAGCUGGUUAGGAUCUGAGCCUUCCAAGCUCAUUGCCCGGGUUCGAAUCCCGGCGGCUGCA
rnacentral:tRNA from 5 species